rnacentral:lncRNA from 1 species
CAAACUCACCUCAAUACUAGACUUAUUAGCUAAUAACAAAGAUGCUAAAGAAGAGAAGCUACAUCCACUACCUUCACCCUGACAGGCUAAGCGGAUGAGCGUACCAAGGGACUUACUGACCAAAGCUGCUAACUAAUGCGACUCCAGACAAUCUACAACUCUGGAUUCCUCGCAACAAACAAGCUACCAACAAGCAACAUUGAGUAUAGAAUCAAUAUGGUAUAUAUAAUAUGAAAACACUUCUAUACUAACUAUAGGUGUCGCGCUCACGUAUGAGUUAUUAGAGUUCGUUGCUUCUUUGUUGCGCUUACUGAGUUAUUAGGAAACUGAAACCACCUUACUGCAGUAGCUGUAGUAGUAGCAGUAGGAAUAGUGGCCAAAUAUACUUCAUUCAUUCGUCUUAGUAGUCUUAGUGAUGUAGUAUACCUUCGUUACCUUCCCUUAGUCCCAUGCAGUAGUCGGAUUACCUUCGUUACCUUCCCUUAGUCCCAACACAGCUGACAUCAAGCAUUCCUCUCUUAAGUAAUCCCUUGAGGCGAGAUAAGCCUAAGACCUGAUAAUGCGGCAUCCACCCACCCGCUUUAAGGACCGAGCUACCCACAUUGAAGGUGCUGAAAGUCUAACUAUUAACAAUAAAUGAUUUCGGCAUCUACCGUAGCGCAGACCGAGCCACAUUGAAUGAAGGUGCUGAAAGUCUAACUAUAACAAUAAACGAUUGAAAGAUCUAGCUUGUAAUUAGCCAACCCUUCUCUCUAUCACUCCUUUGGAGGAAAGACCGGUAUAAUCAUUCUCUAACGCGAGAAAGCAACUACUUGAACAAAGAAAGAAGGCAGGCAGCGAGGUUAAGGAAUGCUAUUAAGACUCGAUUUAGCUACACCUUAUAGAGCUCCAUUAAGCCAAGCAAGAAGUCAAUUGUGGUUAUAGUAGCUAGCUCAAUAGCGGAUAGAGAUGCAGCCUCAGAAGCCGAAGCAAGAUCCGGUGAGGAAGCUGUGCGCAAGCAAGUACUAAUAUUCUACGGGUAUUAUUAAGGGUCUUCAUGAAAGUAUAGUUCCAGAAUCCGCUGGUAAAGAAUCCUUAUAUGUUUCCUCGGCGCGUAAGGGAGCUCGUUAAGUCUUUCUUUAAGUUGAAGCAUAGAUCCAAUUCAGAACUGGAAGUAGGGGUUGGGCAAAGGUCAAACAAUACCCAUCCAUCUAAUCUACCUCAGGCAACAAAGACAUAUGAAACAAGGGGUGAAAAGACAGAUUCCACUCUUCCUCUAACUGGAACUGGGGAUUCCACUCUAAAGUCACUACUAACCAAGCAACUACGAAGGCCAAGUCGACAACAACACUAGUUUCUUUCGCAACGUCUUUCGAAAGGGCUCAAACCUUUUCUUAUAGUUUCUAAGCACCAAUACGGGCUCAAACCCUUUCUUAUAGUUUCUAAGCACCAAUACUAGACUUGACUCGAAUUCCAUACUCUCCGCUUAGUAUUGCAGCCCGAACUCCCGUAAGUAAAGAAUUAGAUUGAGCUGAUGCUGAUGCAUGACGUCUUGUUUACCUUGUCUCAUUUCUAUUUGACUCUCUUGCUCUUGCUGGGCAUCUCAUCUUUUCUCUCUUAGAACUCGUAAGUCAAACAGGAAUCUUUCUUGCACCCGACGAAAACAGGACAUUCUCUGGUCGACUUAGCGCUUGCAGCAGAUUUCCUUUCUACAGCGACCUAAACUCAUAAGUCAGAAUGGAAUGGAAGUGAAGAGCAUCAGGUGGGUAAGUUAUCUUCUUCUAUAAUACAUACAUAAUGAUUCUUUAGUCCUAAUCUAGAGCGGCAGGGAGCUUAGAGACAAGCUACGUAGUUACCAAGUGCUGAGGCGUUCAGUUUAGCGAGGAAAAAGGGAUGCAGUGUGUGGUUAGGUUUACUCAUAUCUAUCUUUCUUGGUGGGGGCGCUAUCAAAUACUCUUUCCUUCGAGUUGAGUUCACGAAAACAGUACUUAUUCUGUGUCCUGCGGCUUUAUUCCAUAUUAGGAACUACGGAACGCGCUAGAUUCAAUUAGUUCUCUGUCUUCUCGUAAAGAAACAAGUAAAUAAACUCCUUCCCUUUGAUUUGGAAUUGAACCGCUCGUCGACAACACUGGCACCCAAGGAGACUCCACCUUAGUACACCGCUUGCAUUGACUUUCCGCUUGCUUCAUCUCUCGUUGACUUAACUCGCACCGCUACUGCACCCAAAACUAUUACUACAACUCGCUACCGCACCCCAACCAAAAAGUAUUACUACUUGCUUCUGUCGCCUGCAUCCUCACUGACACUUCACUUUAAUGCAUUGAUUGGACCACUACAAGGGGCUGAAUAAGGCCAGCAACUACUCAUUAAGUAAUUAAGGGAAAGCACUACUCGGCACAGAUAUAAUUCCUGAGCUGGGCGCAUUUCUUUAGUUGGGUACAGAAAGAUGGAUAUUCGAAUUAAUAGCAGUCAGGUUACUUACUUACAUAAGUUGUUGUGCACAUUCUUUGAUUUCGUCUUGUGCCCUAGAGAGAGAGAUAGUUUGAAAGUGAGAUUCUUUCUAUUGGUGCUAUUGGAGUUGCAGGGUGCGUUGAGCCAGCAGUAACCAGUGAAGGAAGCAAUGCUGUUUAGAGUAAGGGAAGUGAAUCAAUUGUAUACUUUGUCGUUCAAUUCCAUUCUAUAGUUUG